rnacentral:rRNA from 1 species
CACGUAGGGGACGAGCGUUGUCCGGAUUCAUUGGGCGUAAAGCGCGUGUAGGCGGUCCGGUAAGUCCGCUGUGAAAGUCGAGGGCUCAACCCUCGAAUGCCGGUGGAUACUGUCGGGCUAGAGUACGGAAGAGGCGAGUGGAAUUCCUGGUGUAGCGGUGAAAUGCGCAGAUAUCAGGAGGAACACCAAUUGCGAAGGCAGCUCGCUGGGACGUUACUGACGCUGAGACGCGAAAGCGUGGGGAGCAAACAGG